UCCCUACGGGAGGCAGCAGUAGGGAAUUUUCGUCAAUGGGCGCAAGCCUGAACGAGCAAUGCCGCGUGAACGAGGAAGGUCUUCGGAUCGUAAAGUUCUGUUGAAGGGGAAAAAGAGCGGAGAGAGGAAAUGAACUCCGAUUGAUAUUACCCUUCGAGGAAGUCACGGCUAACUACGUGCCAGCAGCCGCGGUAAUACGUAGGUGGCGAGCGUUAUCCGGAUUUAUUGGGUUUAAAGGGUGCGUAGGCGGGCUUUUAAGUCAGCGGUAAAAAUUCGGGGCUCAACCCCGUCCGGCCGUUGAAACU
rnacentral:rRNA from 1 species